AAGUCGUAACAAGGUUUCCGUAGGUGAACCUGCGGAAGGAUCAUCAACAAAACAACGGGCUUCGGCCCAAUCUUUUUUACCAUUUGUCAAUGAAUCUAUAAUUAAUUUAAAAUAAACUUUUAACAAUGGAUCUCUUGGCUCUU
rnacentral:misc_RNA from 1 species